rnacentral:rRNA from 1 species
CUAGUCGGUGGGGUAAUGGCCUACCGAGGCGACGAUCGGUAGCUGGUCUGAGAGGACGAUCAGCCACACUGGGAUUGAGAACGGCCCAGACUCCUACGGGGGGCAGCAGUGAGGAAUUUUCCGCAAUGGACGAAAGUCUGACGGAGCAACGCCGCGUGCAGGAGGACGGCCUUCGGGUUGUAAACUGCUUUUCUCAGGGACGAGCAAGGACGGUACCUGAGGAAGAAGCCCCGGCUAACUACGUGCCAGCAGCCGCGGUAAUACGUAGGGGGCGAGCGUUGUCCGGAGUUACUGGGCGUAAAGGGCACGUAGGCGGUCAUCGACGUUUGGGGUUACAGCUGCCGGCUUAACCGGCAGAGCGCCUCGAAAACGGGAUGACUUGAGGCCGCGAGAGGGACACAGAAUUCCGGGUGUAGUGGUGAAAUGCGUAGAUAUCCGGAGGAAUACCAAAGGCGAAGGCAGUGUCCUGGCGCGGGACUGACGCUGAGAGGCGAAAGCUAGGGGAGCGAACGGGAUUAGAUACCCCGGUAGUCCUAGCCGUAAACGAUGACCACCAGGUAUGCGGGGUAUCGACCCCCUGCGUGCCGGCGCUAACGCACUAAGUGGUCCGCCUGGGGAGUACGGUCGCAAGAUUAAAACUCAAAGGAAUUGACG